rnacentral:rRNA from 1 species
UACGUAGGGGGCUAGCGUUGUCCGGAUUUAUUGGGCGUAAAGAGCUCGUAGGCGGUCUGUCGCGUCUGCUGUGAAAACUCGGGGCUUAACCCCGAGCCUGCAGUGGAUACGGGCAGACUAGAGGUAGGUAGGGGAGAAUGGAAUUCCCGGUGUAGCGGUGAAAUGCGCAGAUAUCGGGAGGAACACCGGUGGCGAAGGCGGUUCUCUGGGCCUUACCUGACGCUGAGGAGCGAAAGCGUGGGGAGCGAACAGG